CGUGCGCAGGGGGCUGAGGCAGUGAAGCGGCGGCGGCGCCGGGCGGAGGUGGCGGCGAUGGAGCCGGGAUACGGCGGCUAUGGCACCUGGAGCACCGGGGCCACCGGCACCCAGGGUUCCUACGGCACCAACACGAGCA